CAACAACGUGGAGGAACCAAAACUUUCAGAUUAGAACAGCCAGAGCAAGCAACGGUGAUGACGGUAGAGGGGGAGGUGGAGCAGCUCCGCCAAUUAGAGCCCGAUCGGAGGACUGCUCACAACCACAAUUAGCAGCAACGCCAAUGAAGCCCGGUGUUUACUUCCCAGGAGUUUAUUUUCAACUGCUUGAAUGGUGAAGAUGGGGCAGCCUGAAAUAAGAUGUUAAUGUAGCUAAGGAUUCUCAGUCUAUAAUAAGCUCGAGUUUCAACACUGUACACCUGAGGUUUACAUCUCGCCAAGGCCAAGAUACAGUCCAAGAUUUUCUGCCUAGUUGAUGAAGAAAACUCGACAAAGAAAGAAAGGGUGCAUCUAGAGCAAGUCCCUUGCUGCUUGUGAGGUCCAGGUAUAGUAAGCAUCUGAUAUGCACUCAAGUUAUGAUCCAAAGCGUGGAGCACCAAGUUAAAGAAUGGUGAUUUAAACGAAUAGAUAAAAUGGAAUGCAGUCAUAGUCACUUAGUGGCCACUAAAGUUAACUUUUGAACAAAACAGUGGGUUUGGAAUUCCAACAUGGAUUUCUUAGAUGGACUCAGAGGAAUGGCCUAGAAGAGCAUGCAUCAGCAGCUGCUGCAGACCACAAAGCGUAGGAGAUAUCAUGCUCCUUUACCAUUUUAUUGUUUUUUUAAAGGUCUGGAUAUGGGGAUGAUGCGUACACAUCAUAAAGUCACACGCCACUUUUCUUAAAGAGCUAUUUACUUUGGUCAUCAGAUUCCUAUAAUGGGAUGAUGAGCAACUUUCCUCUGUAUGAAGUUGUAAUUAAGGUAUUUGUCAUUUAGAAGUCAAAUGAAAUUUUUGCUAAAUCAA